UUGAAGUUACUGCAUCAAUAGAUAAUGCAACAGAUGCAAUACUGCAGAAAACCAUAAGGACUGAAUUUGUAGAUUGCACUGUUAUUGCAGUAGCCCACAGAAUACCAACUGUAAUGGACUGCACAAAGGUGCUAGCCAUGAGUGAUGGUAAAGUAGUGGAGUUUGAUAAGCA